rnacentral:sRNA from 1 species
GCGGGUCGCCGCGUGCCGG